CGUGAGUAAAGUUCGCGACCGGGUGAGUAACACGGGUCUAACCUACCUUCGAGUGGGGGAUAACCUAGGGAAACCUGGGCUAAUACCGCAUAAAAUCUUUGGAGUGGAAAUUCUGGAGUUCAAAGGAGCAAUUCGCUUGAAGAGGGAGUCGCGGCUGAUUAGCUAGUUGGCGGGGUAAUGGCCCACCAAGGCUUUGAUCGGGAGCCGGCCUGAGAGGGCGCACGGCCCCACUGGAACUGAAACACGGUCCAGACUCCUACGGGAGGCAGCAGUGGGGAAUUUUGCUCAAUGGGGCAAACCCUGACGCAGCAACGCCGCGGGGAGGAUGAAGUCCCUUGGGACGUAAACUCCUUUCG
rnacentral:rRNA from 1 species